rnacentral:rRNA from 1 species
AGUGUUUUGAGAGCUGCUUACGCCAAACCUGAACUGGACACUGCCUGAUUCUUAGGGAAGGCAGUAUGGGGUAAAUAUGGAACACUGCAGGCAAACCUGAUCAGCCAUACGGUGAUGAAGAGGCCUUUUGGUGUAAAGCACUUUAAGCAGGGAAGGAAGACUCGCAGGUUAUACCCAUGGACGAUGACUUUAGUGACAGAAUAAGCACCGGCUUACUUCUGGGCAGCAGCUGCGGUAAUACAGAGGGUGCAUGCGUUAAUCAGAAUUAACUGAGCGUAAAGCGAGCGGUAGGUGGCUGAUAAGUCAGAUGUGAAAGCCCUGGGCUAAACUGGGAACUGGCAUCUGAUACUGUUAGGCUAGAGUAGGUGAGAGGAAGGUAGAAUUCCAGGUGUAGCGGUGAAAUGCGUAGAGAUCUGGAGGAAUACCGAUGGCGAAGGCAGCUUUCUGGCAUCAUACUGACACUGAGGUUCGAAAGCGUGGGUAGCAAACAGGAUUAGAUACCCUGGUAGUCCACGCCGUAAACGAUGUAUACUAGUCGUUGGGUCCCUUGAGGAUUUAGUGACGCAGCUAACGCAAUAAGUAGACCGCCUGGGGAGUACGGCCGCAAGGUUAAAACUCAAAUGAAUUGACGGGGGCCCGCACAAGCGGUGGAGCAUGUGGUUUAAUUGGAUGCAACGGGAGGACCCUUACCUGGUCUUGACAUAUCUAGAAUCUUGCAGAGAUGGGGGAGUGCCUUCGGGAAUUAGAAUACAGGUGCUGCAUGGCUGUCGUCAGCUCGUGUCGUGAGAUGUUGGGUUAAGUCCCGCAACGAGCGCAACCCUUUUCCUUAGUUACCAGCGGUUUGGCCGGGAACUCUAAGGAUACUGCCAGUGACAAACUGGAGGAAGGCGGGGACGACGUCAAGUCAUCAUGGCCCUUACGACCAGGGCUACACACGUGCUACAAUGGUAGGUACAGAGGGCAGCUACACAGCGAUGUGAUGCGAAUCUCAAAAAGCCUAUCGUAGUCCAGAUUGGAGUCUGCAACUCGACUCCAUGAAGUAGGAAUCGCUAGUAAUCGCGGAUCAGAAUGCCGCGGUGAAUACGUUCCCGGGCCUUGUACACACCGCCCGUCACACCAUGGGAGUUGAUUGCACCAGAAGUGGUUGCUUAACCUUUAGCAAGGUGCUUAGCGUAAGAACUUUGCGAUACAGAGCCAGCU